rnacentral:tRNA from 1 species
AGGGGAGAGAUGUUCUAAAAGAAGCUGCUAACUAUCUUUUAAAGUGGUUAAAUUCCAUUUACCCCCUA